rnacentral:rRNA from 1 species
ACAAGCGGUGGAUGAUGUAGGAUUAAUUCGAUGCAAACGCGAAAACCUUACCUACCCUUGACAUGUACGGAACCCUGCUGAGAGGUGGGGUGCUCGAAAGAGAGCCGUAACACAGGUGCUGCAUGGCUGUCGUCAGCUCGUGUCGUGAGAUGUUGGGUUAAGUCCCGCAACGAGCGCAACCUUGUCAUUAGUUGCUACGCAAGAGCACUCUAAUGAGACUGCCGGUGACAAACCGGAGGAAGGUGGGGAUGACGUCAAGUCCUCAUGGCCCUUAUGGGUGGGGCUUCACACGUCAUACAAUGGUCGGUACAGAGGGUUGCCAAGCCGCGAGGUGGAGCCAAUCCCAGAAAGCCGAUCGUAGUCCGGAUCGCAGUCUGCAACUCGACUGCGUGAAGUCGGAAUCGCUAGUAAUCGCGAAUCAGAAUGUCGCGGUGAAUACGUUCCCGGGCCGUU